rnacentral:rRNA from 1 species
UACGGAGGUGCGAGCGUUGUCCGGAAUCACUGGGCGUAAAAGGGCGCGUAGGCGGCCUGAUAAGUAGGGGGUGAAAUCUUGCGGCUUAACCGCAAGGCUGCCUUCUAAACUGUCGGGCUCGAGCACAGUAGAGGGCAGGUGGAAUUCCCGGUGUAGCGGUGGAAAUGCGUAGAGAUCGGGAAGAACAUCAGUGGCGAAGGCGGCCUGCUGGGGCUGUUGCUGACGCUGAGGCGCGACAGCGUGGGAGCAA